rnacentral:rRNA from 2 species
CCCUGGCUCAGAUUGAACGCUGGCGGCAGGCCUAACACAUGCAAGUCGAGCGGCAGCACGGGUACUUGUACCUGGUGGCGAGCGGCGGACGGGUGAGUAAUGCCUAGGAAUCUGCCUGGUAGUGGGGGAUAACGCUCGGAAACGGACGCUAAUACCGCAUACGUCCUACGGGAGAAAGCAGGGGACCUUCGGGCCUUGCGCUAUCAGAUGAGCCUAGGUCGGAUUAGCUAGUUGGUGAGGUAAUGGCUCACCAAGGCGACGAUCCGUAACUGGUCUGAGAGGAUGAUCAGUCACACUGGAACUGAGACACGGUCCAGACUCCUACGGGAGGCAGCAGUGGGGAAUAUUGGACAAUGGGCGAAAGCCUGAUCCAGCCAUGCCGCGUGUGUGAAGAAGGUCUUCGGAUUGUAAAGCACUUUAAGUUGGGAGGAAGGGCAUUUACCUAAUACGUAAGUGUUUUGACGUUACCGACAGAAUAAGCACCGGC